UCCUCCCUCAGUGUAAAGCGGCUCAGUUGUGCUGCCACCAGGAGCUGCGCUGACUUGUGCACCCGCAGCGCGUGUCCCUUGAGGUGCACACAAACACGCGGCAGGUCAAUGGCUCGUACAUCUCUGACCGGCUGAGUCCUACGUCUCCGGGACCUCUCGGUCCCCGGUGAGCAAGAAGCAGGAGCGCAAGAGGUAGCCAGCACUGUUCACAUCACAUUACAACAGCAUGCUUACGAGCUCAUCAAGAGAAGACUGUAGUAGAUCAUGUGCCUUGUAAAACUGAUGCUUCAGUGCAAACAUACAAAGGAUGUGCCUGGUCUGAAGAGUUGCUGAGAAUGUCACAGAGUCCUGCUAUGGCUUGUGGCCCAUUUACUGUCCAUGGAUUCAUGCACCCACUCAUCCCUCCAGCCACCUGUCCUGCAACAUUUUGAUGUACGUACCCAGAAACUGCUGGUAGGAUGGCAGCCAUCAGCUUCCAAAGCCAGACAUCUGCAAAGUGGUAAAAUAUCUGCAAAAGUGAUUUCCCAUCUGAACACGCUGUGACCUGGAUGCACAUAGGAGAAGAUUCUGCCCUUAAAAGGGUGGUGCAAGUCCAGAACUGCUCUGCUGACUUCACAGAGGUGUAAAUGAGAACAAAAAAAAGACAAUUACUUUUAAAUGGAUUAAUCAGGGCAAGUUAAAAAAUAAGAAGAAAAUUCUGUUCCCAUUUUAUACUCAGGUCAGAAAUUGGGGGUUUGUUCUCCUUGUUUGCCAGUGCUUCAGAAAUAGGAAAUAAUAUCUGAGAAUUCUUUUUUCUUUCUUGACAAAGAGCGCUAGUCAAAAAUUGGGAACCAGAUGGCUGCUUAUAUAUUUCUUUUUUUUUUUUUUUUUUUUUUUUUUUUUAUUUACUGCAAUACUAAAGCCACCAUAAAAGAAGCAAAGUUGAACAGACAGAGCUAAUAAUAUAAUCAUUCAAAACACCUGCAAACAGUGCAGAUGGGCAAUUUCUGUCUGCAAAAUCAUCAGUGAAAGACCGCCUUCCCAUAUGGGCAAAUCUAGCUGCCUUAGAGCUUCCUAAGCUCUGUCCCUUACCUUAAGAAAACCUGCAUUGAGCAUAUGCAGAUUUUUUAUAGCAGAGCAGAAGUGUCUGUAUCUGCCUGUUUGUUUUAGUUAAAUACAACUUACCACACUGAUAGCCUUCUAUCAGUGUAUUUGAUUUGCCCAUCAUAUGUCCCAAAAGUGCAGAAACCCUGAAGCAGUAAGGCAAACAGCUUUUAUUCAGGCAGAACAUUUGCAAUUGUUAAUGUGUAUUAACAAACCACCAGCACACAAGUUUUAUUCCUUUAUGUAAGCAAACAGCUACAGGAUCAGGGCUGCUGUUGCUGGGGUGUGUGACCACAUAUGUCUAUCUUACAUGUGCAUGAGUUUAAUAUUAGGUGACAAAAUUAUUUUCCCCCUUAUUAAAAGAAAUAAAUCCUCCUUCUGCCGUCUGUUUGGCAUGUCACCCCCAAUGCUAACAUGCACUGAGAUGUGGGAAAGAACCAGGCCCAGGGUGUCCUGGGGAUGAUGCCACCCAUCCCCGAUGAGGCUGGGUUGGUCGUGUAAUGCAAGAUCCAUUUCACUCAUGAUCAGGCAUCACAGCAACUCCAGUCCUCAUCCAGCAGUAGCCCCCAGCUACAGAACCGAGUUGGAGCGGCGGCAGGAAUGUGGAUGGCUUUGCACUGAGCGUAUUCCACCAUCAGCCCCUGGGACCCCCACCUCCCCACACCAUCCCCGCCCAUGUAGGUGAAAUGUUCAGCUCUGAUAACGGUAUUACAUUUGAGUCUGCAUUGUUAAGAAGCCUUCACACUUAAACUUCAGUGUUUUACAUGAAAGUCUUAUACAUAAAUUUGAUUUUUCUCCAGGAUACAUGAUGUUUAAAAAAAGAUAAAAAAGUGUAAUUAAACACUGCAAAAAUGAAAUUAGCAAGGAUGUUCCAAGCCAAGUAGAUCAUCUGUAGUACUACUUUAUUCAAUGAAUUCACCCUCUGUUGUGUCUUUGCGCUCUACACAAUAUAAAGAAAGCACAGAUCUAACACUUUUUUAUUUUAAUACUAGCUGUGUACAAAAAUAGAAGGCGUAACUACAUUUUUACAUUGCUCUUCUUGUUAGGUGUGGGCACCCACACCAACUGCUAAAUAAAAAAAAAAAUGAUUCUUGUUCCAGAAUA